AAUGCUCCGCAUUUGCAGUGGAAAUCCUUUUUGUGAGGUACGAGCAAAAAGAUUGUAACGUAUAGCCCGACCCUUU
rnacentral:sRNA from 1 species